GCAAAUUGACCCCGUAACUUCGGGAUAAGGGGUGCCUCCUCAGCGAGACUGAGAGGCCGCAGAGAAUAGAGCCAAGCGACUGUUUAUCAAAAACACAGGUCUGUGCUAAAUCGAAAGAUGACGUAUACGGGCUGACGCCUGCCCAGUGCCGGAAGGUUAAGGGGAUGUGUGCAAGCAUUGAACCGAAGCCCCGGUUAACGGCGGCCGUAACUAUAACGGUCCUAAGGUAGCGAAAUUCCUUGUCGGGUAAGUUCCGACCCGCACGAACGGCGUAAUAACUAGAGCACUGUCUCGACGAUAGACCCGGUGAAAUUGAAAUGGCUGUGAAGAUGCGGCCUACCCGCAGCAGGACAAAAAGACCCCGUGGAGCUUUACUGUAACCUGGCAUUGAGUUUAGGUGUUAUUUGUGUAGGAUAGGUGGGAGACAGAGAAAUCAGGGCGCCAGCCUUGGUGGAGUCGACGGUGAAAUACCACCCUGAUAACAUUUGAACUCUAACGUUUGACCAUGAACUGGGAAACGGACCGUGUCAGGCGGGCAGUUUGACUGGGGCGGUCGCCUCCAAAAGAGUAACGGAGGCGCCCAAAGGUUCCCUCAGACAGAAUGGAAACCUGUCGGAGAGUGUAAAGGCAAAAGGGAGCUUAACUGAAAGACCAACGCGUCGACCAGAUACGAAAGUAGGGCUUAGUGAUCCCACGGUACAGAGUGGAAUGGCCGUGGCUUACCGGACAAAAGCUACCCCGGGGAUAACAGGCUGGUGAAGUCCAAGAGUUCACAUCGACGACUUCGCUCGGCACCUCGAUGUCGGCUCAUCGCAUCCUGGGGCUGGACAAGGUCCCAAGGGUCCGGCUGUUCGCCGGUUAAAGCGGUACGCGAGCUGGGUUCAGACCGUCGUGAGACAGGUCGGUCUCUAUCCGCUGUGGGCGAAAGAGAAUUGAGAAGGGCUGCCCCUAGUACGAGAGGACCGGGGUGGACGAACCUCUGGUGUGUCAGUUGUUCCGCCAGGAGCAUCGCUGAGUAGCCACGUUCGGAAGAGAUAACCGCUGAAAGCAUCUAAGUGGGAAACUCGCUUCGAGAUAAGUUCUCUUGACUGAAAAGUAUAAGAUCGCAAGGAGACUACUUGCUGGAUAGGCCGGAGGUGAAAGGUCAGUAAUGGCUUGAGCAAACCGGUACUAAUGAUCGAAGGCUUUUGCG
rnacentral:rRNA from 1 species